rnacentral:lncRNA from 1 species
CCUGUGGCAUAUGGAGGUUCCCAGGCUAGGGUUCUAACUGGAGCUAUAGCCGCUAGCCUGUGCCACAGCCACAGCAAUGCCAGAUCUGAGCCAUGUCUGCGACCCACACCACAACUCGUGGUAAUGCCGUAUCCCCAACCCACUGAGCAAGGCCAGGGAUUGAACCCACAACCUCAUGGUUCCUAGUUGGAUUCCUUAACAACUUGCAUAUAUGUAUCUUGUGAAUUUGAUUAUUCACUAAGGCUGUAUCUACUACCAAAUUGGUUUGAGGUUUCAGAUCAAAUCUGUGAUUUUAUAAUGUUACUGUUUGGAAGUUUUUCAUUAGCAUAGAUUUAUUAUAGCUAAAUACAGUAAUGCUUUCUUCUUUAUCUUUACACUUAAAAUCAUAUACAAACUAUGUAAAAGACAGUCAAGUCAGUUUAAUCAUAUCACUAGCCUUAUGGAAACCAAAGUUCAAAGAAGAAUCUUGUAGAAAGAAAAAGGCAACCCAGGAAAUCUCAUUGUUCCGUAUUUUUGUGAUAUUUCCUCAACACAUGUCCUCCCAAGUAACUUCCCUCCAUCACUCUUUAUGCUCCUAUCCAUCUCUCUCACUCUCUUACAGCCGCUCUGGUCUUUUCUCCCCCAAUUAUCCUUAUUCUUUACUUCACUGAAGUUUCAAAGAUAAUGGUGGGACACAUACUAUCUGUGCCAGGCACUGGGCAGAGAACCUGGAACCACAUAAGUGUCUUAGCUCCCCUGGAGCUUUUAUUUUGGUGGCAGAGAUAGAUAAUAGACAUCUAAGUAAGUGACCUAAUAAAAAUAAAGCAAGACCUUUAAAGAAUGAGAGAAUAACCAAUGAGCCCAAUGACUUCUGGGUCCCAAACACACUGAGGCCCAAGAAAGGUCUGGGUACUUUUGAAAUCCUCAUAAGUGAGAACUAGUGAGAAACUUUCUAUCCUUUGCAGAAAACUGAUCUUCUGGCCCUAAAAAGCCCAGGAUAGGAGCUAGAGAAUUGGAGUGGUAAGUGUGUUGUUCUCAAGGCUGGGAGAUACAAGGGAAUCUCCACUGCUACUGCCUUCCUACAGGGGCCUUUGGAGGGCAUGACAGCCCACCUGUUUCUGUGCUGUCCAUAUGUGGGGUGGAGUUGGUGUUGACUUCCUCUGCCAGUGGGGGUGCUCUCAUCUGUGGCCUGAAACACAGUAAUCCAACAAAGAAAAUAGCAACCUGUCUAAAGUAGACCAACAUUCAAUGAAAGAACAAUCAGGAUGCACAUCUAUAGAGGAAAAGCUACUGAGGGAUACAGAUGACAACUGGGUUCAAAAUAAUAAGAGUUUGCCCAUUUUUUGAUGGGGUUGUAUUUUUUUUUUGGUAUG